CCUACGGGAGGCAGCAGUGGGGAAUCUUGUGCAAUGGACGAAAGUCUGACACAGCCACGCCGCGUGCGGGAAGAAGGCCUUCGGGUUGUAAACCGCUUUCAGCAGGAACGAAAAUGACGGUACCUGCAGAAGAAGAUGCGGCCAACUACGUGCCAGCAGCCGCGGUGAUACGUAGGCAUCAAGCGUUGUCCGGAUUUAUUGGGCGUAAAGAGCUCGUAGGCGGUUCAGCAAGUCGGGUGUGAAAACUCUGGGCUUAACCCAGAGCCUGCACUCGAAACUGCUGUGACUAGAGUUCGGUAGGGGAGCAGGGAAUUCCUAGUGUAGCGGUGAAAUGCGCAGAUAUUAGGAGGAACACCAAUGGCGAAGGCACUGCUCUGGGCCGAUACUGACGCUGAGGAGCGGGAGCGUGGGUAGCAAACAGGAUUAGAUACCCUGGUAGUCCACGCCGUAAACGAUGGGCACUAGGUGUGGGUCUCUAACCAACGAGAUCUGCGCCGUCGCUAACGCAUUAAGUGCCCCGCCUGGGGAGUACGGUCGCAAGCAAAACUUAAAUGAAUUGACGG
rnacentral:rRNA from 1 species